UCUCUGCAAACUAGAAGUUUAUGUGCAAUAUCCCAAAUGAAGAAGGAACAGCGGUGAUACUCAGUGACUGGCACAGCGGUGACGACAGCGGCUUGUGAUGAAGCGCGGCUGUGAACCGGUGAGACAGAUCCGGUGAUGGGCGGUGGGUCUGGAAUCGGUCGGCGGUGAAGAGCUUGGAUGUUGGCUCGGCCGUGGAGAGCUUGGGGCUGUGAGCAGCGGGACCGGCGAUGGGCGGGCGGGCGCAACGGUGGCGACGACAUCGAUUAUUUCCAGUGACGCCGUGACGGAGGACGAACAAGCCACCUCCCUCCCUCACCUCCUGCAGGCGGAGAAGUUCUAGAGAGAGAAGCCGAGAGAUUUAUUCCCUAUCUAGGUUUCACAUAUUUUGUUGCGCCAGCUAAGUUUCAGUAAGGAACUGUACCCAAUAAUUUGGCACUACAAAUAGGUUCAUAUACUUCUUUAUUUCAUCGAGAGCAUUGCCCGAUCUAAUAGCCCUGUCAAUGCCCCUUUUCGCAUGGGUGUAAGCUCGGAAUACGAAAGAAAAAAGCCAUUUUUUUUUUCUUGUAAAAAACGUGCGAAGAAGAUGAACAGUGGUUCCAAGGAUAUACAUUAUAUUUGUGUGUGUGUGUGAUGCAGAGUGAUAAGGGCGUGUUUGGGUGUAGCUGUGAGAAGAGGGUGUGUUUGUGUUUAGGUGUCAAAUAAGGGGCAAUAUAGUAUUUUUAUGUUUAUAAGGGUAUUAUGGUCUUUAAAUUAAAUAUUAUGGGUUAUGUGACCACACAUGGUAUUUUACCAGUGAGUUUUAACCGGCAGCCGUGCCCGUGCCCGUGCCCGUGCCGGAUGGGUCAUCUGCCACAAAAAAUGUAUAGUUAAGGGGAUUUUGCAAUUUUUAUAAUUCUGAGGGGUUUGUUACUAAUUAGUUAAUAGUUCAGGGAGAAUUUUUUGCAUUUAACCCUAUAAUUUUUCAAAAUAUAUCACGGAUUCUCAUAAAUAGUACUGGAACAAUUACUAAAAUUGAAUGAAAUGUUAGCAUGUGUAUUUAA